CAGCAGUUACUCCAUAAUUUUAUAAAACAAAAUAAAUAAUUUACACCAUCUAUAAAUAUAACCUCACAAACUAUCACAAUACGAAUUCCACCUAUCACAAUACGAAUUCCAUAGCCAAAAAAUCGAUCUCCACAAAAAUCAUUCUCAUUUUUUCAUUUUACGUUGAAAUGGCUCCUUUGUUCGGCGUCAUCAAGGAAUUGGAACCAGGAAAGAGCAAGAUCGCAUUGCAAUUGCGCUUGAUAAGAAGUUAUGACAUCUUCAAGUUCAACAACAGAUCUGAAACAUUUUCUCAUGAGUGUGUGUUCCAUGAUAAAGAGGUACUCACUCAAUACACUAUUUUUUUAUAUUUUCGAAAAUUUCAAAUAU
rnacentral:lncRNA from 1 species